rnacentral:rRNA from 1 species
CAAUAGCGUAUAUUAAUGUUGUUGCAGUUAAAAAGCUCGUAGUUGGAUUUCUGGUGGGAGCGGUUGGUCUGCCCCGCGAGGGGUAGUUACUGAGCCGUAUCCGGCCCUUUUCGGGUUGACCGUGGCUGGCAUUAAUUUGUCGGUGCGGGAGGCCCGUCGUUUACUGUGAACAAAUUAGAGUGUUCAAAGCAGGGUGUUCUUGAAUACAUUAGCAUGGAAUAAUGAGAUAGGACUUUGGUGGUUCUCACUUUUAGUGGGAUAUUUUGUUGGUUUGCACGCCAAAGUAAUGAUUAAUAGGAGCAGUUGGGGGUAUUCGUAUUCAAUUGUCAGAGGUGAAAUUCUUGGAUCGCUGAAAGAUGAGCUUAGGCGAAAGCAUUUACCAUGGAUGUUUUCAUUAA